CAGGCCUUGGACUCAUGCCACCAAGGUGUCCUUGCUGCUCUCUGAUGCCAAGAGAUCUGUAGGGACCAGGAAAUGGUGAUGUCUUUAUCUCUGGUGAAAACAGGCAUGGAAAAGCAAAAAGGAAGGUUUCAGAGUCCCCUCCUCCACAUUUCAUGGACGAGGAAGAUGCCCCUGGUAUGAGCUACUCCUCUGCAAUACUGCUCGUCUUUUCUUCGGAGGACUGAGCAAGUGUGGAAAACAAAAACCUACCUCGCUGGCAUCCUUGUGCUCCGCGAAGACCAAGGAUGAAGACUUUAAAAACCACUAGCCAAAUCAUAGCCUCAAUCCUGAAGCGUGAGGAGGGAACUUCCGCCGCAGCUCUCCAGCCCAGAGUCCAACAGCAUAGCCACAGCUCCAAGCGCCUGUGUCAUGUCCACCUCUGCUCACCCACGCGGAUAAGGUUGUGAGAGCCCGACGCCCACACCCCGCUCUGCCCAAGACCCACUGAAAAUGCUGUCCUUGGAGAACUUGACUUUAAAAAAAAAAAAAAUUUAAAAGACAGAGGGAGAGAGAGAUUGAUUGAUUUUCUUAUCCACUGGUUCAUUCUCUAGCUGCUUGCAACAGCUGAAACUGGUGGAAGUCAUAAGCCAGGAAUUCAAUCCAGGUCUCUGCAGGAACCCAAAUAUUUGAGCUGUCAUUUACUGCCUCCCGCAGUGUGUAUUAGCAGGAAGCUAGACUCAGAAACCGAGCUGGGACUGGAGCCUGGCACUCUGACCACUGAUACUAAUAGUGUCUUAACUUUGUGCCAAAUACUUGCCCUUUAUGACUUCUUUAAUCACUGGAUUUUUCCUUUAUCAAUACUAGAUUUUUUUGAUAAAUUAGGCGUGCAUUUUUAAGCUUAAUAAUAUUUAAUCACUCAUGUAUUAAUCUCCUGAGCAUCUACAAUGAAUGUGCUGGUAAAUGCCGUAUAUUUGUAGACUUUAAUGCUGGUGUGUUGUUUCCAUGUUAGGUGUCAAAAAAGUAGAAGACACUCAUUCAAGAUCAAGUUUACUGAGAUCUACACUCAGAUCCCUGGCUCCAAAGCACCUUCGCCUCCUCCCAAAUCAUCCCACCCCCAAAUGACUGUCUCAUUUUAGAGACGAAGGACCCUGCCAACUGUAAUUUUUUUUAAUGAAAUACCUUUUAGGGCCAAGUCAUGAUACAGCAAAAAGGCACAGCACCAACAAUUGAAUGUUCACAAUGUAUCAGCGCACUCAUUAAUCAAGUAGCUGAGAUUCCUGCUUGUUAUUUUCUCAGAGGUUUGCCUACCCGCCCCCGCCCCAAGUUUGCAUCAGGGCUCCCACACUGCGGUUUUGGUGGUAAACUGAGUCUCAGCUUUCUGGAGACCCUGGAAAUCAGAGGAUCCUGUUGGGAUUUGGGGGCAGGAUUAAAGGAGACCAGGUCUGUGAAAGCCCCCAGGAUGGUGCCUGGAGCCUGGCGCACCUGCUGAGGCUCCUCCUCUGCCAUCUUCCUGGCAGUAGAUGUUUCCAUGAGGCUGGCUGCUGGACACGUGCCUGGGCUUCCUAGUUUUCUGCCAGCCCUACCUUGACUUGUGCUCCCAGAGCAGACUCUGUAUUUGGCUCCCUCCUCCUUCUCCAGGAAAUCUGAGGAAUCCAGGCCAAGGCCGGGUGCUGUGCACAGAGACCUUGCUUGCUCUUCCCAUGGCACCUCUCUCUCUCUCUGCUUGGCUAGCGCGUCACCACCGAGCUGGAGAGCACCUGCUAUGGGCUAACACCAGAACAUGGAACCCCAGGGGAGUGCUGGCAGGGUACAGGCAGAAGCCAAGGGGACCUUUCCAAAUCUGUCCCACCAACAGUGCUGCGGGAGGGGGAGAAGGAAAGCACACGGACGGAUGUAACUGGAAAAGCGGGGCCAUUGUCCUUCCCCCCUCCCUCCUGGUUUAUAUUCCGCUCCCUCGAGCAAGGUGCCAAGCCGGCACACGUGUUUUCCGAAAUGACCAUGGUACUGCAGGGCUGCAGAAAUUCUGCAAGUGCACCUCGAGUGCCUGGCGUGUCUUGCGGGGCGCACAGCAGAGGCUUGGGGGUAGCGCCUGGAUGAUAGUAGUGCUCUCUUCCAGGCAUUCCUCCUCCUUCAUGAUGCUCCCUGCGCAAGAGGCCACUCAAAAUGAGCAGUUGCUAAACCCUUUCCAAACAACUGUCCGUCUUCCCUAAG